CCUACGGGUGGCUGCAGUGGGGAAUAUUGGGCAAUGGGCGCAAGCCUGACCCAGCAACGCCGCGUGAAGGAAGAAGGCUUUCAGGUUGUAAACUUCUUUUCUCAGGGACGAAGCAAGUGACGGUACCUGAGGAAUAAGCCUCGGCUAACUACGUGCCAGCAGCCGCGGUAAGUCGUAGGUGGCAAGCAUUAUCCGGAUUUACGGGGUGUAAAGGGCGUGUAGGCGGGACUGCAAGUCAGAUGGGAAAACCACGGGCUCAACCUGUGGCCUGCAUUUGAAACUGUAGUUCUUGAGUACUGGAGAGGCAGACGGAAUUCCUAGUGUAGCGGUGAAAUGCGUAGAUAUUAGGAGGAACACCAGUGGCGAAGGCGGUCUGCUGGACAGCAACUGACGCUGAGGCGCGAAAGCGUGGGGAGCAAACAGGAUUAGAUACCCUUGUAGUC
rnacentral:rRNA from 1 species